UUACAGUGACCAAUCGGAGUUCUGGCAGAAACUUUGUAAACAACGGAGUUGCACGCUGUCUUUUAACAGCUAAAACAAAGCGAAUAGAGUAUCACAGGGAUCGUCCGGAAGUCGAAGGAGCGUUAAGAUUUACUUGACACACAGCAACAUGUGAUUAGAGAUUGUGAGACCUGAAGAUCUUACUAGAAGGAUGACAACUGCAAGCGACAUUAGACAGCACUCCCAGUGCAUACAGGCUGAAGUCUUGGAAGAUUGUGCAUAAGUUGAGGAAACAUGAUAGAUAUUUGCAGUAACUGAGUAUAUCAGAAGAGGGCUGUGACGGAGGAUGGAUAGAACAUCUUCUGUUACAGGAUGAUAAAGGAUGAUUUUGUGUUGGCUUAUGGAGAAAAUGCAAAACUGGAGCUCCACUUCAGCUGUGCCCUGGCAGAUUCUAUCAAUGGAACAAGUAUGAUUGGAUUCCAUGCUGAGAAGUAAAAGGAGCAACACCAUGUUUCAGCACUGUACCCAACCCACGACCUGCAGCUCCACAAGUCUUAGAAAACUCCUGGAUGAAAAGAGGUGUUUAACAUUUAGGAAAGGUGUUAAAUUGGUCAAAUUAAGGUAACCAUUAGCUGAUUUUGGUCAACGGGGAGAAGUGCCGACACUCAGCACUGCGGCCCUCCAGGACUGGAGUAAACUCUUCUUUGUGGCUGACUGAUCCUUCCUCUUCCUGGUGACAGCGGAGAAAUUCUCAUCAGCUAUAGGAUUCCCAAUUCAUCCUUCACAGAAGUACAGGAGCCUCCUGGAUGACAGCUAUUGACACUCCACUACACAGCACAGCACGUUGGGAGAUGAGAAAUUACUUCACAUUGUUAAACGGCCAGAGAUUUGAAUGUCAGCUCGUCAUGUCGGACACAGGACAGUUCAGGUCUGCAAAGGAUGUGCAGUGAAGACGGGCUUAUUUUUCCCAAAAAGUCUUGGAAGGUAAAAGUGAAAAGUAUGGUAAAAGAAACAUUUGAAGAGAGAACAAAACCCUGUUUCACCGGUUGAAGAGUGGCUGCUUCAAGACCAAUACAGGUUGUCUGUGCUUCUUCUUUAAACCCAACUCAUCGUGGCAUCGGCAUCAGGAAAUCUCUUCUUUGCUUUCUGGGGAUGGCUUUUGGCGGCAGACUUCUAUCCCACAUUGCAAAUACCUUGGGACUCUGUUGUGUCGGAGAGGAGGCUCCCGCCACGCUGAAGACAUUACGCACAGACAUCCCACAAUCCCGUGAAGCUCCAGAGAUGUUUCUGCUUUCCUGGGAGACACGCUCCCACAUCUUUUGCAUGGAUCCGAUUGAUUCCAUCGGAUACUGAGGGACCAUGGACCGUACAUUCAGGAGCUCUGGGAAGGAUGGAAUUUUCAAUCCUGAUAUAGAGGUUUUUUUUUUUGUCUAGAAACUAAUGGAAUGAGGCAGAAGUUACUUUUAAGCCCAACUGGGCAUAGCGCUCCUGCUUUGUCAUCUCAUCAACCAUUUUUUUUUAUUCACAAAUCAACAACCGAGGCAAAUGGAGUUUACAGUGACAAGACUGGGGAUGUGUGAUGAAGGACUGCAACAGUGAUGGGAUUCUUCUUCAGUUCCCCAAACAUUUUAGACAAACUAAGAGUUAAGGUUAAGCUCAGAUAGUCACUCAACACACACAGGUAAGAAUUCCAGAAUGUCUUAAGGCUGUUAAUUGCACAUCAAAAUAACCAUUUCAAUUGCGCUUGUUAGUCUGCUAUUUGCUGUUUUCAAAUUAGAUGUGAAUAAAGUUUUAAGUGAUUCUUUAAACAAAAUGCAGAAAUGAAAAACACAUAUGUUGUGUAUCCCGAUGGUGACACAACAGUUGUUCUGUGAUUUCUCUAAGACUAUUUGUUUGGUCUUGCAUAACUUUCUGAAAAGGCUGUUUUAUUUGUCAAGAGCGCUUUGAGGUGUUACUGACAAUGAAAAGGAAGCACGUGAAAUAAAAAUAGAUUAGCUGUUGCUCAUUUUGCUGGGGCACUUCUGCACAUAUUUGGAGAAUAGUCCGCAUUUUUAAAUCCCACUCUGUGAAUGAGGAUUUGAUGUGAAUACACGCAUGUGACUACAAGCAAGAUGAGGUGCUUAUAACAGACCUAACUGACUUCAGCACAAAGGGGAAUGGUUUAGUAGUCACAGGAUAUGAUGAAGACCAGAACGAGAAAGGUUACCAAAACUUUAAAGAGCCAUGAUGCAUCUCAGAGUUCAGUCGGGGAACCUAUUUCCCUGUAAUAGUAAACACAUUAACAUUUAUUGUCACAAAUAUUUUCUCACAUCUUUCGACCCAACAGACUAUUAAAGAUACUUGAAAAAAGGCACAAAUGAACAAGUGAAAGCUAUGUUUUGCUCUCAGUACUCCAUUCCUUGAUAUUUUAGUUUCUCUUUUCAUUGUCUUUAUUCUUCCAGUUUUUAAACUGUCGAUUUUUUCCCUUCACUUUAGCUACAGUACGCACUUUUUUGUGAUUUCCUCCUGAAAGCCAGAGAUAAUGUGCCAGUGUUAGAAAUAUAAUGAAAGAUUAAAUAUUUCAAUAAUGAACAGUUACACGAGUUCAGAACAUGUCACAAAACACCUUAUUCCCUUUUGACAUUAGAAGAUUUGGGUUACACUUGCUGUGUUAAAUGCUAACAGGUAUUCAGGUAAAUGCCGUUAAUUUUAACUAAGGAAAUUACAAAAGAGUAGUUUUUGAAUGGAAUUAAAUGUUUAAUUUGUAAGCCAUUAGAGAAAUCAAUCUAUUAACUUUAAUCUGAGCUGUUUUUUGAAUAACUUUGAAGCUGUUUUGUUGCUUGUUAGGUUAGUUUCUUUAACUGCUUUAACACUAUAAACAGUAAAUAAGACUGUUUCUCAAACCUUUUCAAUCUGUUCACCUUAAGUCAUUAAGACAGGAAAUUGAUGGAACCAUAUCUUAAAGUUAUGUGUGCCUUAUUAUUUCUAUUUAAAUAAUUUGGUUUUAUUUGUGUAAUUCCUAUGAAAUUAGUAAAGAUUUGUACUUACUGAUGAUUGUUAUUUUCCUAAAUUAAAAUUCUUUGUUCUUUUACAUUCCUCUAUUUUUUUACAAAGUUCAAUGUAAUGUAAUAAAACAGGAUAAUUGAAUUGUGUAAUAAUAGUCACGUUUGGCUUGAACGCAAACAAGUCCUAUAUGUUUUAUGCAUAUGUUAUUCACCUGGAAAAAACAAAACUCUUGAAAUGUGUGGAUUGCAAUUAAAUCAAAAGAACAAUUUUGUUACUUUAAAUACGAAUUACAUGUGUCAAAAAAUUGUUAGGAAUUCCUUAUGAAAUCCUCAGACCACAAUCGUAUCCUUGGGGAUACAUUGUAGAUGCUGCGAAAGAAAGUUAAGCUAUGUAAUGGGCUUUAAAUAAUGAUUUUCAGGUGGGUUAUAAACAAUGAUUUGCUGUGAUUUACCAUUUUAUUCUCAUCAACCAAUAUAAAAUAGUGAUAAUCCAAGAUUUCUGUAUAGUCCCUUAAAUAUUUUAAUCCAUCUAUGAAUUCAUAAAAGUGUAAAAUGAUACAGUGAUUCAAACUUUCUGAAUUACUGGUUCAGUUUAGGAAUGAUUCAAAUACAAAUUGUAUCAUAAAUCCAAUCUAAAAAAAAAGCUGUACACCAAGGGAUUUUACAGAAAACCAUUAGCUCAUCCAGCACAUAAUACAUUUAUACAGCAGUGAAGUAUUUUAUUUCUGAUUAAAAUGUACUUCCCAAGUCACUUCAAUAAAACUUAUGGAAAGUCUAUUCAUCACAAAAUAUGACUUAAUUCAUUGUUUACAAGGAUAACGAUUUGUUGGUAAAACUAGUGUUUGAAAAUAAAAGUCUAAAUAAAUAUAUUGUAUACAAAAUGGCCUUUUCUAGUUGCUUUAUUUCACUUUGAAUAAAAAAAACUUAAUCUACACAUCUGGUCUACACAUCUGCUGCUCUGUCUUUACUGCUGUCAUACUUACAUAACAUUUGAAUGCUCAGUUUCACUUUGAAAUUAAGGACAUAGAUGUGGAUGUUUUCAGUAACACAGCAUAAAACCCACACAGACUGCAGCUGUUUGCCUAUACGUUUAGAAAAUGUGUGUCUGAAUAUAUGUUUUUAGAUUAAACAGAAAUGUAUUGAGAAAAAAACAUAACCAGACUGUGUUAUUAAAAUUGAUAUUAUGUGUAUUCAGGUUUUGUAAGGAAUAUUGUGUCCUUUCUGGACACUGUUUUUCUGUUGUAAAGUAACAGUCGUUCUGUUCAUUAAAUAAGAACUGAAUAUUGUGAGUUGUAUGAAUAUAAGUCAGAUAUCAAUGUUUUGCAAUACUUGCAUUUAAGCAUGGAAUAUGUAUGAAUUGUUACAUGAAUAAUGGCUAAAGAAUAAACGUAAUAUUUAGUGUU